CCCGUUUUCCGGUUUUCAUGACCUACAUUUGCCGGUCAUAGUUCUUGGCUCAUAGCGGAGACGAGUGGGGGCUAGAGAGAGAGAAAGAGCAGAAAGUUCCCGUCGCCGACGUUAUGUUGCUCCGUAGGCUAGAGAGCCACCGUCACCGGCGGUGUUUGUCAGUCCAAGGGUUCCUAUGGCGUUCUCUAGAAUCCCCGAUUCUGGCAUAGCAACUGGAUUUUAGGGCACCGUUCGUCGGAGCUCAAGAUCAUUGCAUGCCUUCUGGAUUUUUGGGGUUUUCACUGUGGCCGGUCUAUAAUGGUUGGUUGUUGCCGGCGUCGUUCAAGGGCACUUAUGGUUUCGAUGAUGGCUAGGGUUUCCUAUGCUGAGACUCUAACCGACUUUGAUGGGUGGUGAUUGCUUUUAUCUACGAUUAUCAAUGACUAUGGGUGUCUUCAUCUGAGAUGUUCUUCAUUUGAAUUUUGAAACCGGUGAUUUGGGCUACCGAGCGCUUUCUACGGUCGCGGGCGGUGGGCUGACCUUUGGCCAUUGGGUUAACCAGGUAGCCAUGAAUUUAUUCGUUAACAUGGAAUGCUUUUAUGUAUUCAUAAAUUGCUAAAAGUAUGUUCGUUCUUAAAGUUAAUAAUGUUGUUGAUGC
rnacentral:lncRNA from 1 species